rnacentral:tRNA from 1 species
GGGCGAGUACCUAAGUGGCCAAAGGGGACGGGCUGUAAACCCGUUGGCGUACGCCUUCGCAGGUUCGAAUCCUGCCUCGCCCA